GAUGUCGACUUGGAGGUUGUUCCCUUGAGGAGUGGCUUCCGGAGCUAACGCGUUAAGUCGACCGCCUGGGGAGUACGGCCGCAAGGUUAAAACUCAAAUGAAUUGACGGGGGCCCGCACAAGCGGUGGAGCAUGUGGUUUAAUUCGAUGCAACGCGAAGAACCUUACCUACUCUUGACAUCCAGCGAACUUAGCAGAGAUGCUUUGGUGCCUUCGGGAACGCUGAGACAGGUGCUGCAUGGCUGUCGUCAGCUCGUGUUGUGAAAUGUUGGGUUAAGUCCCGCAACGAGCGCAACCCUUAUCCUUUGUUGCCAGCGAUUCGGUCGGGAACUCAAAGGAGACUGCCGGUGAUAAACCGGAGGAAGGUGGGGAUGACGUCAAGUCAUCAUGGCCCUUACGAGUAGGGCUACACACGUGCUACAAUGGCGCAUACAAAGAGAAGCGACCUCGCGAGAGCAAGCGGACCUCACAAAGUGCGUCGUAGUCCGGAUCGGAGUCUGCAACUCGACUCCGUGAAGUCGGAAUCGCUAGUAAUCGUGGAUCAGAAUGCCACGGUGAAUACGUUCCCGGGCCUUGUACACACCGCCCGUCACACCAUGGGAGUGGGUUGCAAAAGAAGUAGGUAGCUUAACCUUCGG
rnacentral:rRNA from 1 species